GACGGAGGAGGCAAGCGUUAUCCGGAAUGAUUGGGCGUAAAGCGUCCGCAGGUGGCUGUGUAAGUCUGCUGUCAAAGAGCAAAGCUCAACUUUGUAAAGGCAGUGGAAACUACACGGCUAGAGUGCGUUCGGGGCAGAGGGAAUUCCUGGUGUAGCGGUGAAAUGCGUAGAGAUCAGGAAGAACACCGGUGGCGAAGGCGCUCUGCUAGGCCGCAACUGACACUGAGGGACGAAAGCUAGGGGAGCGAAUGGG
rnacentral:rRNA from 1 species